rnacentral:rRNA from 1 species
GACGAACGCUGGCGGCGUGCCUAAUACAUGCAAGUCGAACGAGAGCGACCGGUGCUUGCACUGGUCAAUCUAGUGGCGAACGGGUGAGUAACACGUGGGUAACCUGCCCAUCAGAGGGGGAUAACAUCCGGAAACGGAUGCUAAAACCGCAUAGGUCUUCGAACCGCAUGGUUUGAAGAGGAAAAGAGGCGCAAGCUUCUGCUGAUGGAUGGACCCGCGGUGCAUUAGCUAGUUGGUGAGGUAACGGCUCACCAAGGCCGUGAUGCAUAGCCGACCUGAGAGGGUGAUCGGCCACAUUGGGACUGAGACACGGCCCAAACUCCUACGGGAGGCAGCAGUAGGGAAUCUUCCGCAAUGGACGCAAGUCUGACGGCGCAACGCCGCGUGAGUGAAGAAGGUUUUCGGAUCGUAAAACUCUGUUGUUAGAGAAGAACAAGUGCUAGAGUAACUGUUAGCGCCUUGACGGUAUCUAACCAGAAAGCCACGGCUAACUACGUG